rnacentral:lncRNA from 1 species
CAUGUGGCUAUUGGCCACUUGAAAUCUGGCUGGUGUGACCAAGGAACUGAACUUUGAGCUUUAUUUAUUUUUAAACUUAGCCCUAAGUGGCUAGAGCUACAAGAUUGAAGAGCACAAGUCUAUAGCCUUUGUGAAAAUCUCAGAGGGGCUGAAGAUUCUCAGAGGAGAAAAGCUCAGGAUCACUGUCAGAGUGGCCUCUCUGAAAUGUUGGCAGAAUGCUGGGGCAGCUUUGUCAGAAAGGGGUCUUGGGUAAUAAAAACCACUUGGGAAAGUCCUAUCUACAAUCUUCAAAGGAAUGUGAGCCAAGAUGUCACAGAUUCUGUUGAAUUGGGAGGAGAGGAUGUGGGGAGGAGAUGGACUUGUCCCAAGGAUGGCAAAAGACAGCACAAGACCAGGGGACGCAGAGAAUCAGCUCCCGUGUUUGUGUGCACAAAUGCAGGGUCCAGGGAGAGGGAGGUGCCUCUAUCUACUUAGGUAUUUAUACCCUUAGAUUUGAAAGACAAUCCAAGCCUGGGUUUGGCAGAGACUUCAGAUCAAGCUAGGAAUAGCUCAGAUUCAAAAAUCAUACAGGCCUUUGGGGAAUGAUAGUGCUGGAACCAGGCAAUAGGCAAAAUAAUUGGCAUUCAGGGAGCAGGCCCCCACCAGAGUGACUGGUAUAAGACUCCAGUUCCCGAGUCCUGGAAUAGGGGGCAAGGAACUUCAGGACAACACAAGAGUCAACAAGGACUCAGUGGUUAGGACGGUGUGGUCCUAGGCAGGGGCUUGGGUAUCAGGUUUUCAGCAGGAGGACAGGAACAGUAAGCAGUGUAAUUCAAUCCUGAAUCCCUGGGUGCUGGCCUAGGUCUCCUUAACUAUUUCCUGGCAAGUGCCAGGCUUGUACCAGAGUGUGGGAUGGGGUGGGGCUCAAACAGCCUAAGGGAUGGCCUUAGCCUAAGCAACUCCUUUUUUAAAACUCUACUUUUAAACCUGGAGUCUCACCAGGCACACCUAUGGAGCCCUCCACUAUGAUCAUCAGGCAUAGCCCUGGGAUAAACAAGUCACUUCUUCCAACCCUGACAAGCUUAUCGGAGGGAGGGCAAGAGGCAAGAAGCUCAGGGUGGGGACCACGAGACCAGAUGCUUUCACCCCAGGGCAAAUGACAUCACUGAGAAAUCCAGUGGCAGCUGAUAGUGAUUGAAAGGGUGGUCAGAAGCCCCAAUAUUCAGUGUAAAUGAUGGAGCAAAUGAACAGACCUUCAGCCAGCCGACACCGAUGCGCAUGCCAGAGAGCCUGAUGAGGGCCUGGACUGACAUCCCAACUCUUCUCAUCGUUUGCCUGAUCCUCUGCAUCGUCCUCACCGCUUUCCAACUCUACAGCCACAUCUUGGCCCUGGUGAGAACUGCAACUUCUCCCUACCUCUCUUCACCCAGCUGUCAGCUCUACCCCAGGAGAACCCUGCCUCAGUCCCUGACUUGAUCACUGAGGUCUGAGUCAGUGUGCAUCUGCUGGACUUAGAGCCUAAGGCUUGAGACUUUAGAACUGGCACUUGAGCUUGGAAUUCAGCGUGAACGUCUGUCAAGACCUGUCAUGAUUAAGAGUGUUUGGAAUUAAUCUAGAAUUGUUUGCUCUGGAUUGAUUUUGUCUAUUGCAGUGCCUAGCAUUACAGAUUGUCAUUUUUCUUGAUUAAGAACUUAUAGAGUGAAAUGGUAUUGAGUGAUUUGGGUGAAUAAAGCAUUGAAAAGGGC